rnacentral:rRNA from 1 species
UACGUAGGGUGCAAGCGUUGUCCGGAAUUAUUGGGCGUAAAGAGCUCGUAGGCGGUCUGUCACGUCGGAUGUGAAAACUCGGGGCUCAACCCCGAGCCUGCAUACGAUACGGGCAGACUUGAGUUCGGCAGGGGAGACUGGAAUUCCUGGUGUAGCGGUGAAAUGCGCAGAUAUCAGGAGGAACACCGGUGGCGAAGGCGGGUCUCUGGGCCGAUACUGACGCUGAGGCGCGAAAGCCAGGGGAGCAAACGGG